CGGCAGACGGGUGAGUAACGCGUGGGAACAUACCUCUUGGUUCGGAGCAACACGGGGAAACUUGUGCUAAUACCGGAUAAGCCCUUACGGGGAAAGAUUUAUCGCCGAGAGAUUGGCCCGCGUCUGAUUAGCUAGUUGGUGAGGUAACGGCUCACCAAGGCGACGAUCAGUAGCUGGUCUGAGAGGAUGAUCAGCCACAUUGGGACUGAGACACGGCCCAA
rnacentral:rRNA from 1 species